GACGAACGCUGGCGGCGUGCCUAAUACAUGCAAGUCGAACGCUUCUUUCCUCCCGAGUGCUUGCACUCAAUUGGAAAGAGGAGUGGCGGACGGGUGAGUAACACGUGGGUAACCUACCCAUCAGAGGGGGAUAACACUUGGAAACAGGUGCUAAUACCGCAUAACAGUUUAUGCCGCAUGGCAUAAGAGUGAAAGGCGCUUUCGGGUGUCGCUGAUGGAUGGACCCGCGGUGCAUUAGCUAGUUGGUGAGGUAACGGCUCACCAAGGCCACGAUGCAUAGCCGACCUGAGAGGGUGAUCGGCCACACUGGAACUGAGACACGGCCCAGACUCCUACGGGAGGCAGCAGUAGGGAAUCUUCGACAAUGGACGAAAGUCUGACCGAGCAACGCCGCGUGAGUGAAGAAGGUUUUCGGAUCGUAAAACUCUGUUGUUAGAGAAGAACAAGGACGUUAGUAACUGAACGUCCCCUGACGGUAUCUAACCAGAAAGCCACGGCUAACUACGUG
rnacentral:rRNA from 1 species